CGUAACAAUGGGCCGAUUAUUCCAUUUCAACAAGUGAAUGCUCGAACAGCGGCUUUGACAGGUGUUUCUGAAAGAACCGUGAACCGUAUAGUUUCAGAGGGAAAAAUCAUGGAAAGUAAUUUUACAGCGAGAACUGAAGUCCCUAAUCAAGCAGCUCAAGGACCUUCCACAUCCACAGCUUGUGAUGACAAUUCCACACCAGAGAACACUACUUCCGAGGCUAAAGUUACGAUAAAACUAGUCACUCCAGGUAAAAGUAGAAAAAGAAAAUUAACUGUUUCUGAUUUGGAUGACUUUGAUCUUUGUGUUAUUA